rnacentral:lncRNA from 1 species
AGGCUACAGGCCUGGCCUCAGCUCCUCAUCACCCCAAUGUCAUUCAUUUCUCUCAAGCCUGUCUCUUUGCACCCUGUCACCCUUCAUCCACCACCCCCCCCUGUCUUGAACACAGUAGAUCUUGGACUCACAUCAACACCUGGGAGCUGGUUGAAUGGGCUUGCAUUUCCUGUACACACAGCGAUGGCUGGGCAUCCUGGAAGUGGGGCAGGCAGCUGAAGAACAGAGAAGCAAGGUUUCCACCUCACCCUACCGUACACAUGCUUUGGACUUUGGAAUCGAAGUUCAGGGGGCAUCUUAGACCUGCCAGUUUGAGGACGGACUCAGUCAAGAGGCACAGCGGGGGCCCCUGUGCAGGAUGCUCAUACCGGGCUAAAGAGACGAGCACUCAUGCGAGCAAUGAUGCGAGAGAGCUGGGCUCUGGCUAACUUCGGUCGCCUAGCAACCCUAACAGACAGACAGCCUGGCCAGUCACCGUUGGCCGUUGAUAUCCACCUGCUUCCUGAAGCUAGAGGGAGCCACAAAUCAAGUGCUGCCCCACCCGGCCUCCACUCUCCCUGCCACCAACACCUGACCUUCUUCAAGCCCCUAAAGAGGCAGCUGGGUGACCACUGCUUCUCACCUCGCCCUUUGCCCUCCACCUGAGACCCAUUCUGCA